rnacentral:tRNA from 1 species
GAGAGGUGUUCAGAACAC